AGGACGAACGCUGGCGGCGUGCUUAACACAUGCAAGUGGAGCGACGAACCAGGGCUUGCCCUGGGGCAGAGCCGCGAACGGGUGAGUAACACGUGGGUUACCUGCCUCGAUGACCGGGACAACCCGAGGAAACUCGGGCUAAUACCGGAUGUGCCCGCAAGGGGAAGGAAGCUUCGGCCUCCGCAUCGAGAUGGGCCCGCGGCCCAUUAGCUUGUUGGUGAGGUAAAGGCUCACCAAGGCUUCGAUGGGUAGCUGGUCUGAGAGGACGAUCAGCCACACUGGGACUGAGACACGGCCCAGACUCCUACGGGAGGCAGCAGUGGGGAAUCUUGCGCAAUGCGCGAAAGCGUGACGCAGCAACGCCGCGUGGGGGAAGAAGGCUUUCGGGUUGUAAACCCUUUCAGUUGGGACGAAGCUCCGCCGGUGAAUAGCCGGACGGAGUGACGGUACCUUCACAAGAAGCACCGGCUAACUACGCGCCAGCAGCCGCGGU
rnacentral:rRNA from 1 species